UGCAGAGACUCCAGGGAUGGGAGGGUCCGGAUGACUUCUCUGGGGGCAGGGGACAAGGUGAACAUCAAGGUUUAGUGGGCACCGGAAAGAGUCUUCCAUGGCAGCACGGGCUCUAGCCAGAGAUGAGGGCACCCUCGGUCCAGCAGAAGCAGAAUUAGGAUAACCAGAGAUUACGGCUCUUGAUCAUUAUUGCCAAACCUAGUCAUGGAGCAGCUAGAAGCUGAAGGAAGCUCUCUCCAUCGGCACUACGUACCCGAGAAGAAGACAAGUUGGGGAAGCUGGCGCCGCCAUAGUGAUG
rnacentral:lncRNA from 1 species